rnacentral:tRNA from 1 species
GCGCACGUAGCUCAGUGGAUAGAGCGCUGCCCUCCGAAGGCAGAGGUCGCAGGUUCGAAUCCCGCCGUGCGCG